CUAUUUCAACAUGAGUUCAAACAGGCCAUCUUUAUUUAGUGUCAUUGUCUAAAUAUGCUUGUUUAGCUCAAAAAGAGGGAAACCUCUGUUUGCCCUGUGGCUGUGGAGAUGGUCCAGUCACUAGGAAGUGACCAAGUAACCAACACUCACUUUGUCCUGUUCAGUCUUUCUGAAUGGCAACAGGCUGCACAGUAACAAUAAAUUGACAAUUUACAGUCAAGACAGUGAAUCUCCACUUCAGAAACAUGCAUGUUAUCACACACCUUUGCCCAACUGGAGGCCUGUCUACUCAUGCAUCAGACUCUCCAUGCUUAUGAUAACCCUGACCAAAUACACUGCAGACCUACAAAGACACUGCAGCAGGUAAUGCCAGGCUGAAACAUCAGUGCUCAGACUGUCACCAACAGAAAACAACCACAGAAGAAAAGGCUGCACUCGACUGGCCAAUCACCAUCAGUACUUCCUUUAAUGGAAAAGUCUGUGAAGUUCAUGACAUCUGUGAGUAACACCUUUUGACACUUGGCCAUCAUCACACAUGGACGGGCUGCACAUUUGUCUGCUGGUUCUCUUGGGAGUUGUUUGUUGCAGCGAUGGUCAGAUUUCUGGAUCAGUGUUGGAGGUGACAGUCAGAGCAGGAGACAACAUCACUCUUCACUGUGACUGCAAACUUUCAACUGGAGUAUACAUAGUGUGGUACAGGAACUGCUCCCAUGAGAACCAGCCUGCUCUUGUCCUUAGAACCAAAUUAGGUUCAUGGAAGGGCCCACUCAUUUACACUAGUGAUCCUUUGAGGAUUUUCCCUCGUUUUAGAUUUGUGAGAAACUUUUCUUCUGAAUCCUAUGACCUGCUGAUCGAGAACAUCACUGAUGUGGAUGAGGGCCUCUACUACUGUGGAACCGAAGAGCCAAAAAUUGGGUAUAAUGAAUACCUUAUUCCGAAAAAUGAUUACAGAUAUGGCAACGUCACAACAAGGAUCAUAUUCAAUUCCAGCUCACAGCCUGACUCCAGUCAGUGCAUCUCUGUGCAUGUCGGGUCCUGGACGAUGGCGUCCAUUCCAGCCUUCACCAUUCUCUUCUCCUUCCUCUCCUUUAUUUUGGUUUAUUGCUUGGGUCAGAAAACAGAUAAGGAACCUGAAAUCCUCCUGAAAAGACCUGACACCAGGGGACAAACAAGAUGGAUUCAGGAUGAAGAGUUAUGUUUAACACGAGUUGUGUUCCGGGCUAAGGAUGGACAAACACACCAACAGGUGGAGGACGGAGCGCACAAAGUAGAAACCAAAUAGAAAGAAAUGAGUCCACAUUCGAAAGGUUCAAAUUCAGAAUCAGAUAAGAAUCAGAUCAUGAUUUCAGCUAAAUGUUCAUAAAAAAAUCUUGUGUCUGAAGUCACUGCUGACUUUUUCUGCAUUAAAACAGACCAUGAUCUUUCCAUAACCUUAACCAUGUGCUGUCAGUGUGAUGAGUUUCUGCUUUAGCGAUCAGCCACUUUCCAUCUGUGGUCUCCGGGCAAUGAUCUGCAUUAUUCAUAAUAUAAUGAUUUAGUAAGUUAACUCAUUUGAUUAUGGUUUAGACUUCAGAGCAAUACAGAGCGUACAAGGAAGUUUAGCUGAGCCACACAUCAGUAAAGCUCUACAGGAAACCCACAGUGACAAACAGCCCCUCGCACGCCUGCAGAGCCCAACAUGCAGACGGACCGACGCUGCAGUUUAGUGGCCUGCUGAAAGUGUUGGUGCACGGCUUCACUGUGACGUUGUGGACACAGAUCAUACUUUAAAAAAACAAAAAACAAAAAGAAAAACAAAAAUUUGUUGCAAAUUGCUUUUAGGGUGCAAAUCUCCACUGACUGUCUGAUAACAGUGGUCGGCAGCUGGACACUCUCCUGACCUCUAGUGGACAUGACCAGUAAAGACCAAACCAAAUUGUUGUUAAAACAUGAUUGUUUAGCUCAAAACGAGGAAACCAGUGUUUGCCCUGUGGCUGUGGAGAUGGUCCAGUCACUAGGAAGUGUCCCAGUGAGUCAAACUGUGGCCACAGACUGACUUGGAGACCAGAAAGGUAAAGUAGGUACAGCUACAUAAAUUAUAGUGUAUUUCACGCUACAAUUACAUGAAAUUAAUAAAUAGCACAAAUACACACAAAAAAACACAUAAACCUAUUCAAAUAUGAUGAUGACUCUGAAGAUACUGCCCAUGUGAUUGUCGCUGUUAACCAACACUCACUUUGUCCUGUUCAGUCUUUCUGAAUGGCAACAGGCUGCACAGUAACAAUAAAUUGACAAUUUACAGUCAAGACAGUGAAUCUCCACUUCAGAAACAUGCAUGUUAUCACACACCUUUGCCCAACUGGAGGCCUGUCUAGUCAUGCAUCAGACUCUCCAUGCUUAUGAUAACCCUGACCAAAUACACUGCAGACCUACAAAGACACUGCAGCAGGUAAUGCCAGGCUGAAACAUCAGUGCUCAGACUGUCACCAACAGAAAACAACCACAGAAGAAAAGGCUGCACUCGACUGGCCAAUCACCAUCAGUACUUCCUUUAAUGGCAAAGUCUGUGCAGUUCAUGACAUCUGUGAGUAACACCUGUUUCACUACCUUUUGACACUUGGCCAUCAUCGCACAUGGACGGGCUGCACAUUUGUCUGCUGGUUCUCUUGGGAGUUGUUUGUUGCAGCGAUGGUCAGAUUUCUGGAUCAGUGUUGGAGGUGACAGUCAGAGCAGGAGACAACAUCACUCUUCACUGUGACUGCAAACUUUCAACUGGAGUAUACAUACUGUGGUACAGGAACUGCUCCCAUGAGAACCAGCCUGCUCUUGUCUUUAGAACCAAACUUGGUUCGGGGAAGGGCACUAAUGAUCCUUUCAGGAUUUUCCCUCGAUUUAAAUUUGUGAGAAACUUUUCUUCUGAAUCCUACGACCUGCUGAUCGAGAACAUCACUGAUGUGGAUGAGGGCCUCUACUACUGUGGAACUGAACAUCGAAAAGUUGAGGAUCAGAACUGUAUUACUAUCAGACAUGAUUACAGAUAUGGCAACGUCACAACAAGGAUCAUAUUCAAUUCCAGCUCACAGCCUGACUCCAGUCAGUGCAUCUCUGUGCAUGUCGGGUCCUGGACGAUGGCGUCCAUUCCAGCCUUCACCAUUCUCUUCUCCUUCCUCUCCUUUAUUUUGGUUUAUUGCUUGUGUCAGAAAACAGAUAAGGAAGCUGAAAUCCUCCUGAAAAGACCUGACACCAGGGGACAAACAAGAUGGAUUCAGGAUGAAGAGUUAUGUUUAACACAAGUUGUGUUCCGGGCUAAGGAUGGACAAACACACCAACAGGCGGAGGACGGAGCGCACAAAGUAGAAACCAAGUAGAAAGAAAUGAGUCCACAUUCGAAAGGUUCAAAUUCAGAAUCAGAUCAUGAUUUCAGCUAAAUGUUCAUAAAAAAAUCUUGUGUCUGAAGUCACUGCUGACUUUCUCUGCAUUAAAACAGACCAUGAUCUUUCCAUAACCUUAACCAUGUGCUGUCAGUGUGAUGAGUUUCUGCUUUAGUGACCAGCCACUUUUCAUCUGUGGUCUCCGGGCAAUGAUCUGCAUUAUUCAUAAUAUAAUGAUGUAGUAAGUUAACUCAUUUGAUUAUGGUUUCGACUUCAGAGCAAUACAGAGCGUACAAGGAAGUUUAGCUGAGCCACACAUCAGUAAAGCUCUACAGGAAACCCACAGUGACAAACAGCCCCUCGCACGCUUGCAGAGCCCAACAUGCAGACAGACCAACGCUGCAGUUUAGUGGCCUGCUGAAAGUGUUGGUGCACGGCUUCACUGUGACGUUGAGGGACACAGAUCAUACUUAAAAAAAACAAACAAACAUGAAAAACAGAGGAGUUUCAUCCUACGAUCAUAUCAUUUUAGUGGAAAAUUUGUUGCAAAUUGCUUUCAUUGUGCAAAUCUCUAAUAACAGUGUUCGGAGGUCACUCUCCUGACCUCUAGUGGCCAUGACAAGUAAAAACUAAACCAAAAAGGCUCCCAGAGGAGCUUUGGCGUCGAGCUACCUGCAGCAGUCCAAACUACAGUAUAUUGUCUUAUAUUAAUUCUUAUUCUGGCUGUUUGAGCUUUAUAUAAUAAAUUAGAGUUACCUUUUGCUGUUUGUGACCAACACACCAGACACUGAGGGAAAAUCCAAAUUGCUGGAGGUAAAAAAUGACUUCUGUCUAUAUGUAUUCACACAACACCAGUGAUGUAAGUGAAGCAUCAUGUGGCACAAAAAUAACAUUUUUUUAUUGCUGGCUCAACAAAGAGAAACCAGAAAGACUCUGAGUUCAGUCUGAACAGAAAAGAGCAAAGCAAGACUUCAUCAUAAUUCAACUGUAUGUGAUGACUGCGAAUGUGGCCUUCAGUGAUUCCAAACUUAUCAUCGGGCCUCAAUGUAUCGUCAAACGAUACUUGCUGACUUUCAUGUGAUAUUCAACAGAUUUCCUCAAGUUUGAACUCAAUUCAAUAAAAAAAACAAAAUUCUGUGAAAUUAUUUUGAAGCGAUUUAUUUAAAGCAGGUGGUUUUACAUUUAACAUGCCAGACUGGUGGUAAACAUGAAGUGUGAAUAACAGCGCUAAAUUUUGACCAAGGUGGGGGAUGAGGAAAAAAAUGACUCACGGAUACGUUUACAGACAUGGCAACAUAACAACAUGGAUUCUGUUCAUUCAGGAUGUCUGGUCUGUCUAUUCCUGCUGCGUUAGUUAUUAAUGCUGUAAACUCGGCUAACUGAUAACCACACAGAUGAACAAUGUGGGCUUUGGAGUUGUGUGAAACAGCACCAAACAAUUACAAAUCUCUUUCAGUAGUGCAGUAGUAGGGGUUGUGUUUAAUGAUAUCAAAUGUCAAACUGUCUUUCAGGAUGACAAUGCAUUUAUACCAGAGUAGUGUUCUGAGCUCACAAUGGACAGAUUUGCUUUAUAUAAGAGAGACAGAGACCACAAAUCAAUAACUGGCUCCAAUUCAAAAACUUUAAAUUCAAGUCAACAGUUAAACAUGACCCAUUUAUUGUAUCUUGUCGUUCUAUUAAUUAAUAUUAUGUUUUGCCGGUAUGUUGCUUACAUGUAGUAUUUCCAGUGUUAUUGAAACUUUAACAACUGCUAUGACUAUUUUAAAUACUAUCUGUGGUAUUUGAAAGAUGUCUUGCCUUAGACAGGCUAGGCUCUAAUUGGCUCUUUUUAAAUGCUACCACCAGUAAGUUUGCUAAAUGCUGAGCAUGAACAUUCUACUCAACUGAAACUCAACAGAUGGGACCCAUAGGAGAUGGGAGAGGAAAGCUGGAAAAGUGGCUGCUGGGAUUUAUUUUGGGAUAUAGCUUGUUUGAGUAAUGACAUUGUGAUAAAUAAGCCUCCCUUUCUAGUGCUGGAAAACCUUAAAAAGAAUAUCUAUGCCUUCUAAGAAUUCUCAGGCUUUCUGUCACUUGGCUAACUGUGGAGAGUGUUUUAUGUUAACUUUAAUGUAUUGUAUUGUGCAGUAACCCUUUUUGUGCUUUACUUUUUUGUGUGGGCUAUGAAUUACAAACAAAUAAACAUAUAUCCUACAAGGCAC